rnacentral:ncRNA from 1 species
GCUGGAUUAUGACUGAACGCCUCUAAGUCAGAAUCCGGGCCAGAAGCGACGCGUUGUCCGCCGCUCGUUUGCCGACCAGCAGUAGGGGCCCUCCGGCCCCCAAAGGCACGUGUCGUUGGCUAAGCCCUCGCGGCGGACGAGCCGCGCGGGCCGCCUUGAAUUACAAUUUCCACCGGGCGGCGGACUGAAUCCUUUGCAGACGACUUAAAUACGCGACGGGGUAUUGUAAGUGGCAGAGUGGCCUUGCUGCCACGAUCCACUGAGAUUCAGCCCUUCGUCGCUCCGAUUCGU